rnacentral:lncRNA from 1 species
UCUUUCUCUAGUUCCCUCCCUCCUGCUCCAAUCUUCAGUUCAGCUAGAGAAAGAGAGGGAGUGAGAGAGGGAAAGAAAGAAAAAGAAAGAAAGAGUGAGCGGAAUAAUAGUGAGCGACGAGGGGAAUUUCAGUGCUUGGAAACUUUUCUUUCCACUGAAACAGAGAAAAGAUCACAGGCGUGUGGAGGACUGCAGCACCCGAGGCAUGGUCAGUCGCUGCCGCCAGCUCGGUGAGUUCACUCCCCGUCUCUCAGUGCGUGUGUGUGAUUUAUACAAGAGUGACAGUAUUGCUCUGUUCUCGUGGUUCUAUCGUGUCUUUUUCGUCCGUUUUAUACUCUAAAACCUUAUUGCGGAUAUGCGAAUGUCUCUUCCACAGCAG